AAAUAAAACAGCUCUUACAGCUUUGGAAAUUACGCAUCUCCUGAGGACAGCUUUUGGUGUUUCCUAGUUUUUCCAUCAGAUACCACAUGGAAUCUGUUUGCCUCUCAGUAGCUGCCAUUUGGUGCUGCCCUGUCCAGUACCUGAAGGCUUUCCCAGCUCAAAGAUACAUGCAUGGAAAAAAAAAAACCCCACUAUUUUAUUGUCUUGAAAUUUCUCUUUGAAAUGAGUUUGAAAGCAGCUCUAACAAAACACAGCAUAUCAGAGGAGCAGAGGUGUCCAAUGAGAACUUUAGGAGGCUUACUGGAAAGAAUGUUACACUGGAUCUGUUCCAUCAUCACUGCAUUUCAACCAGGUGCUGUCAUUCAGCCUUUUGAACAAAGAAUCAGAAAGGCUCUAGCUGCCAAAAGCCACUCUUCUUGCAACAGAUGCAGCAAAGCUGGCAGUGGAUCUACUUUUCAGCUGCUACACUGAACUCCCCACCAAGACUCCAAAAAGGGAAACGAAUGCAUUGUGAUUCUAGUAAAUACUUCACUUUGAUGUUAUGGCUAUUGUUAGAUGAGAUGAGGUGAAUCCAGGCUUGCCCGCAAAACUUUGAUUUUCUACACGAGAAGAACGACUUCAGCAUACAAUAAAUCGUGAAUUUCUUAACA
rnacentral:lncRNA from 1 species